UGGUUCUGGCAUCGAUGAAGAACGCAGCGAAAUGCGAUAAGUAAUGUGAAUUGCAGAAUUCAGUGAAUCAUCGAAUCUUUGAACGCACAUUGCGCCCCUCGGUAUUCCGGGGGGCAUGCCUGUCCGAGCGUCAUUGGACCUCUCAAGCGUAGCUUGGUGUUGGGUGUUGCCCCCGGGGUGCACCCGAAAAUCAUGGGCGGUCCGAGGUGACUUUAAGUGUAGUAAAUGUUCUCCCGCUUUGGAAGUUUGCCCUACGACUGCCCGACAACCCCCCCGCAUCAAUCAAUGAUUGACCUCGGAUCAGGUAGGGAUACCCGCUGA
rnacentral:misc_RNA from 1 species